CCUACGGGAGGCAGCAGUAGGGAAUCUUCCACAAUGGGCGAAAGCCUGAUGGAGCAACGCCGCGGGGGUGAAGAAGGUCUUCGGAUCGUAAAACCCUGUUGUUAGAGAAGAAAGUGCGUGAGAGUAACUGUUCACGUUUCGACUGUAUCUAACCAGAAAGCAACGGCUAACUCUGUGCCAGCAGUCGCGGUAAUACGUUGGUUGCAAGCGUUAUCCGGAUUUAUUGGGCGUAAAGGGAACGAAGGCGGUAUUUUAAGUCUGAUGUGAGAGCCUUCGGCUUAACCGGAAUAGUGCAUUGGAAACUGGGAGACUUGAGUGCAGAAGAGGAGAGUGGAACUCGAUGUGUAGCGGUGAAAUGCGUAGAUAUAUGGAAGAACACCAGUGGCGAAAGCGGCUCACUAGUCUGUAACUGACGCUGAGGUUCGAAAGCGUGGGUAGCAAACAGGAUUAGAUACCCCAGUAGUC
rnacentral:rRNA from 1 species